rnacentral:tRNA from 1 species
GGGCUCUUAGUUCAGUGGCAGAACGUCUGCUUCGCAAGCAGAAGGCCCCGGGUUCAAAUCCCGGAGAGUCCA